AGAAGUCCGAGAAACCCCCGUAAAUAUGCCUGUCCACUUUUUUUAAAGCAAAUUACAAAAUGUGAAAUUCCCCAGAAAUGCACAGCAAUACCUUCUCUAACAAUGUGCCUUCAGCCAAAAGCAGAACUGGAAACAUCCUAAGUGGGCCGGUAACGAGGCUAGCUCUGUCGACUAGUUCAAGACCCCUGAGCGCUUUGGGCCUGAGGUUCCUCAGCUUCCAAGUGAAAGGCUUCGACUUGGCAUUCUAAGAGACAAUCUCUGUGACCAUCAGUUUCCUCAUCUGUAAAACUGGCAUCAUGAUAACUUUGAAGGUAAUUGUGAAGAUUAAAGGGAGUCAUGCAUGUAAA
rnacentral:ncRNA from 2 species